CACUCCUGACUAUUAUAUAUAAGGUUCUUCACUUUAACCAGCAGAAUAUAUGCAUAACCUUCCCUAUAAAUAACUAUUCAUAAAUAGAUAGGCCAAAACUAAAAAUCUUUAUUGGAUACUAAAUUCGCUAAUUCUAAGAAUCUUUAUCAGAUUUCAGUCCGGAAUAUCUACAUUGCAUCUAUAGGUCAUCUUUUCGAAGCAAAAUUCUUUUUCCUUUUUCAUCUUUUUUCCUUUUUCAUCCUUUUUCCUGUCUUUACAAGAUCCGUUGGCUCUUCGUGCGAGAGUCAACAUAAAACCACUCAGAUGUCUAAUCACAAAGCAACACAAUGUAUUUCUUGCCUUCCUUUUUCCCCUUUCUACCGGUGCGUGUGCGUCAAACGUGAACGGCGCGACACUCAUAAACAGUAAGCAUUGAAUAUGCAUGUUGCGGCACGUGGACAAAUACCUAUUACCCUUGACUUUCACCAGUGUAUCUUCUCUGGCGGAAUCAGAGGCGACUGCACUCGCCACUUGUCGUAGCAUGUGUGUACAUAUCUCCUGAAUCUGAUGCACCUGUAGAUCGGCCGUUUGUCGUUUCAUUAUUUUAGUCGUUUGCUCGUAACGAAAGAUAAUUGUGAAACGGUGCGGCAAGCCGAUCUCAUCCGAGCUCGGUCGAAGGUUACCGAGCGUCGUGGCUACAUAAAUACAGCGAGUGACGGUUAGCGACCAUUCGAAGAGCGACCGAGGUUAAAGUAAUUUCAGUCCAGUGCAGCCGUUCAGCUAGUUUUCACUGUGAAACGUACAUUCGAAUUAUAAAAAGUGAUACGCAGCGCGUCAAUCACGCGACCGAGAAAACGUUUUCUCUUGAUAAAACCGAUUGAAGAGGAACGCGUAUCGGAAGAGAUUCGUUUCGAGUUUGAAAGUAAGCCCAAAGAGAAAUCAAACAUGUACACCAACCCGUUUAACCGCAAACACAGUACUAUACGACAGAUGUUGGACAAGUUACUCGAUCCGACGAAAAGAUCCAUCAGAAGAUCGGAAAGUGUGUCGAGUUCCGACAGUGGCAGUUCCAAGGGUAGCAAUAGUUCCCUGACCAGAUGCACGCACAACCACAGGGGGGUUUUACACUGGGGCAGGAAGUGAACCACCGAGGAAGAUAACCAGUGAAAUGCUGUGAUUCUCUUCUUUCUCUCCGUUUUUGCUUUUUUGUUUCAUCCUCUUUGCGUGUCCUCGCGGGAAAGCAAGCCGAUAAGAGAAGUCAUUAACAGUGCAAGAGAUUUCGAUCGAGUUUGCUAGCAGUAUCAGCAAAGUAUGCCGUGAAAAAUACCAUUGCACGGCAUAAAAGGCCGACUUGCUACGACCCCAUCGCCGCGGAGGUGACGCGUUUUGAACCAACGCGGGAAGUUGCGACGCGACUUGGUGAAAAUACGAAGCCAUAUAUCCACCAGCGAGACCAGGUGUUAUUACACCGCGUCGCGCCGCGCCGCGCCUAGCCGCGCCGUCGCGUCGUCAAGAUCGAUCGUGGCUAUUUGCUCGGAUCGAUGAUCAAAGGAUAUCGUACGAGUCACGGCUACUCGAAUGUACGGUAAAUAUCACAACUGCGAUAUAAACGUCAUUUUUGUUUAGAAGAAAUCUAAAUGAUAUUCACUGCGAUCAAAAUAUAUGGAGUUGAUCACUGAAUAUUGUCAAAUCCAUUCAAAUGUUACCGAAUAUCGUAUCGAAAUACAUAUAACAACCAUAUAUCGAACUGUAAAUUCAGCUUGGAUAUACAUAUUACGCACGCAUACAAGCGCCAUAUUUAUUGCAUAUCACAUUAUUUAUUUUGUAGACGAAAUUUAAUUAUACAUAUACACGUCUAUAGCAUUGUUAAGACCACCAUGUGCCAUAAUCGUUAUAAUUUGCAAACGCUUUUCAGUUGGCUCUUAGUUUUAUGUUACUAGUCAAAAGUCAGUAUUAGUCGCUGAAUCUGUACAUGAAAAAUAUGUACAUGUUACAUGAAUCUGUAAAUCGACGAUAGUAUGUUACUUCUAAUUUAUUUGCUUCGCAUGAUAUUCGAACCAAAUAAAAGAUAUUUAUUGAAAAAUUAGUUGUUUCGUCCUUCCUCAACUCUUUUCUCAUUCUUUUGCAUUAGAUAACAUCCCUCUCAUUCUUCUACAUUUUAAUAUAAAAUUUUUCACACGAUAUAUGUACUCACAUUAUAGUCAAUAAUUGUAUGUUAAGCCGUUGAAGAAAUAUUUUCCAUCUAUAAAUUUAAUAUUUUACCCAUUACUAUAUUACAAGUUAAACUAUUUAAGAAAGCAUUUUCUUUUCUUCAUACUUUCGCAAAUUACAUACUAUUCGAAACGUAUGAAGACCAUAGGAAAAAUCAUGAUAACUACAUACAUAUUUGUUAAUUUCUUGAUUGUAAUGUCACUUUGUAUCUAUACAAAGAAAUAUUGAAAUAUAUCUCAAUAUAGAAUAGAUAAAAAUAGGAAGAAUCUUUUAAGUCCAAUCGAAAGAAUUUUUAAAUAGAAAUUUUUUAAAUAAACGACAUUUUAAUAUCUUCUUUUUCGUAUUCUGGUAACAAAAUUACUUGACAACGUAUUGAAAUUUCAAAACUGCUACCCUAUAACAUAGAAAAGAUGGAAAAUGUAACUAUGUAUCCCCAUCUCCUCCUCUAUCCCCAUAUACACUGUAUCCAUGUAUCUGAACGUUUUGAUUGACUUGCAAUAGCAGUAAGUAAAUUUUACCAAAUUCGGUAAGUAUGCAAAUCAAAGAGGAAUUAAUAACAAAGAGUUAUACUAUCUUUUUAUGAAAUUACCAGGAACUUUAAUACUGAAUUAUAUAUUAAAAAAUAUAUCAAUAUAUCAAUAUAUAUAUUAUAUAUUACUAUUAUUAUAUAGGUAUUUAUAUAGAAAAUUAUGGAUAAAUUAACUUUUAUAAGGUAAUAUCCAAUAAUAAAAUUGGUAUGUAUGUAUCUAUGUAUUUUGUAGUCAUCAAACUUUAUAGCAUAGAUCUACACUCUGUUACUUAACAAACUCUUUAUUUUGAAAUCCUUUAAUUUUCGACACGGAAGACAGAUUAAAAGGGCCCCCUAUACUUCUGUUUUCACUGUUAUGAGUGGAAAGACGUAAGGCAACAAUUUGGUAUAUAUUCCUUUUCCCUGUCUUUCAUACGAUAAAUUUUACACAAUAAAAGUUGAAAUAGCCACUACUAAACUAAUAGUUUCUUUUCUAUAAAAAAAAUCUCGCGCUGUAUCGAUUAAUGUAUUAAAAGAUACAUGAUUCCUUUUAAAAGAGCAAAGUUUAUCCUCACAUAAUUCACGCCCACAUACAGAAUAACUAACAUCACAAUAUGCCUGCCAUCAAUUCAUUCAACUUCUAUCUGAAACAUUUUUCGCUGCGGGUAAUAAUAGUAACGUAAACCGAUAUCUCAAUAUCAGGUGAGAUACUUGGUAUGUACGCGCGCGCGUGCGUCUACGUUAUAUUGUAUAUGUACAUAUAAAUUGCUUAAAUGUAAUAGUCAAAACUGAAGUCACUUAUUAUUAAUAAAAAUCUUAUGGUCAGAUACAUCUUUCGAUCAUAUUGAAUUACACCGUUGAUUGUAAAUUUCCAAGGAAAAUUUAGUUGAAUGUAACAAAUAUGCUCGAUUAAAUGAUUUUAUGUGAAGAGGCGUAUACGUUGAGUCAAUUAAACAGCUAUAGUUAUAAGUUAGUGCUCUGGAAACGUACGCAAUAAUAGUAAUAAUAAUAAUUCAAUGCUGAAAUAUUUACAUAUUACGUUAUUGGCUUAAUUGGAAUUCAAACCGUUGCAGACGAUUGAGAGACGUUAGUGAGGUCAAUAAGAUUUAUUGUCAAUAGUUACCUACAAGUGUGCUUUUGCAACAGCAAGCAAUUUUUAUUCAAAUGAUAAUUAGAUAAUUGUCAACUGCAGUGUUGUAAAUUCUUUUGUUGUUUUUAUCAUGGAUUAUCAUGGAUUACAGUUGCUUACAUCAGUCUUGCUACAUAAAAUAUUAUUUCGAAGUAAAAUAUUAUCUUUCUCGAGUUUGUAAAUAUGCGUGUAUGGUAGAAUAAAUAUCACUGUGUUUCUCUUUAAUUUAAAUGUGAUAUGUGAAUGGGAUUUGAUAAUAUAAUGUUGAAAAUAGCGAUUCUGUUAUGGUAUACAGGUUGCAAUUAUUUCUGUGGUCACCUAUACCUAAUCACCAAUACAUCUUUUAAUAAAUCUUAAUAAACAUUUGUCCUCCAGACCUCCAAACAGACCUCCUUCCCUAUCGUUAAUCAUUUUGUCAAUGAAGAUAAUACAAGAUAAUGAGAAAGGAAGAAUUUAUGCAAUUACACGUUUUUAUAGGCUUAAUUAGAGAAAUGAAUUUUAAACAGAAAUUCACUACUAAUCGUCUUGUUUAAGUUUUUGCAGAUAUCUCGGAAACCAAGACGGAUUGAACGACGAUAACAUGCAUAGGGAAAAGUUGUCCAGAAUGAUGACCUUCACAAUAUAUUUCAAGAUCAUCAAAAUCGGUGAGGUGCAGCUGAUUCCGAAUAAUUGACGAAUAAACUUACCACGUAUUUAGUGAAAGGAGGUACGUUCAAUCGAAGGUUAGUGAUUUUUUAAUUUCAUGGACUUUGCCUUAAGGGGAAUAACAGGUAAUAAUUGUAAAAACAAGAUUGAUGAUUCUUUUCCCAUACUGUUCAACAAUAUUUCAGAAAAUUACUUUUACUCAUAUGUAGCUCUAAGUUUACAUAUUAUAUCCUAUUAUAAGUAUUAUAGGAUGAUCGAAUUUUGAUUUGAAAUUGAUGAAUUAUUAUUUUCGCAUGGGAAAGUAUCUUUUAUCUGGAACUACUUUACAAACGUAGCUAAAAAUUGAAUAAUUGCACAAAAAAUAGCAAUCUGUUUCAGUUAUCUGUACGAUUCUCUCUCUCUCUCUCUCUCUCUCUCUCUCUUCAAUAUGUUCACAGAUAACCCUUUUAUAACACGAAAAUUUAGUUGAAAAUAUCAUGUUGUAUCAAAGGAAUGUUGUGCCUUUAAAAUACUGUUGUACGGGAAGAGAAGGUGAAGUUGUAGAAAAUCUACUUCCUCUCAGAUUUCGUUAGAUGUAUCAAUCAAUAUCAAUGUCCAGGAUGUAUGAAAAAUAAAUGUGACGAUUAUCAAAGCGAGAUUGUACACUGUCUCUGGCUCGGUAGAGAUUUGUUCCAAAAAGUUGCAGCAAAUUAUGUAUUGGCAUGCUGGUCGGCUUUUGAGGCCAUCCUGGCCAAAAUCGACACACAUCGCAUUCGUCACACUGCCACAUUUGUUUGGCACCGCCAACCAAGAAUGGCAACCAAGGUGGCAUUGCCGCCUGGCAAAUGCCGACGCAAUGAGGACGCAGCUUAACGGAGAUGUCAACUUCGUACUAGUGCGUAUACGAUUAUUAUCGUGUAUGGCGCACAAAAAUAUUUUAAUUUUAAGUAAUUAACGCAUAUCGCGCACAUACACUAAUAACAUACUAUAUAGUUACUAUGUAGUUAUAUGUACUCUACUAUGUAGUAACAUAUAGAAAACUUUUGUGUAUCAGAUCUCGUAGAUCUACAAUCCUUUUCUGGCAUUAUAAAUAAACUAGAAGAUUUUGUAAA